rnacentral:rRNA from 1 species
UACGUAGGGACCAAGCGUUGUUCGGAUUUACUGGGCGUAAAGGGCGCGUAGGCGGCAAAUUAAGUCAGCUGUGAAAUCUCCGAGCUUAACUCGGAACGGUCAACUGAUACUGCUCGGCUAGAGUGCGGAAGGGGCAACUGGAAUUCUUGGUGUAGCGGUGAAAUGCGUAGAUAUCAAGAGGAACACCUGCGGCGAAGGCGGGUUGCUGGGCCGACACUGACGCUGAGGCGCGAAAGCUAGGGGAGCGAACGGG